rnacentral:tRNA from 1 species
GUCUUCGUGGUGUAAUUGAAAAGCACGUCCGACUAGCAAUCGGAAAGUCCAGAGAUCGAAUCCCAAUGAGGAUA